GACCGAAAGGCAAGAGCUUACUUACAAACCCUAGUGUAUUCUAAUGAUUAUCGUGGCUUGUGUUCAGCCAUUUUCGAUCCAUGGAAAGUGUUAAUCGACAUUUUAAUAACAUUAUUGGUUGUAUUGUGAGACUUCAGAGGACGUUGUUAAAAAGUCCCUCAUCAGUUCUGGAAAGCUGUAUGGAUGGGAGGUGGAAAUGGUUCAAGGGUUGUUUAGGAGCAUUCGGCUGCGAGGAAUGUCAUUGAGAGAUCAUUUGGUCUAUUGAAGAGGCGAUGGGCAAUAUUGCGAAGUCAUUAUUAUUAUCCGAUAAAAGUCCAUAAUAUGAUUAUCGUGGCUUGUGUUCUGCUACAUAACUUUAUUAGACCUGAAUCGGAAAACGAUCCAUUUGAAAUUGAUAAUCUUGAAGAAUAUGAGGUUGAAGAAGGAGAACAAAAUGAAAAUAAUGAAGUUGAAACAAUAACAUCCAUGGGAACAUCAAAUGAGCGGUCUCAAUUUAGAGCAAAUUUAGCAAGUACUAUGUAUAAUCAUAGUCUUGCAAGUGGAAACAAUACAUGAAUUUACUAAUGAACAUCUUGGUGACAGAUUACAAAUUGAAGAUUGAGAGAUUUAAAGGAUGCUGAUCGAUCAUUGACGGGAGAAGCCAGUGUUGCUGGAGCAUUGGAAUCAAAGUUGAGAAUGUAAUCAAGUAAGCGAC